rnacentral:rRNA from 1 species
GAUGAACGCUGGCGGCGUGCCUAAUACAUGCAAGUCGAGCGAACGGACGAGAAGCUUGCUUCUCUGAUGUUAGCGGCGGACGGGUGAGUAACACGUGGAUAACCUACCUAUAAGACUGGGAUAACUUCGGGAAACCGGAGCUAAUACCGGAUAAUAUUUUGAACCGCAUGGUUCAAAAGUGAAAGACGGUCUUGCUGUCACUUAUAGAUGGAUCCGCGCUGCAUUAGCUAGUUGGUAAGGUAACGGCUUACCAAGGCAACGAUGCAUAGCCGACCUGAGAGGGUGAUCGGCCACACUGGAACUGAGACACGGUCCAGACUCCUACGGGAGGCAGCAGUAGGGAAUCUUCCGCAAUGGGCGAAAGCCUGACGGAGCAACGCCGCGUGAGUGAUGAAGGUCUUCGGAUCGUAAAACUCUGUUAUUAGGGAAGAACAUAUGUGUAAGUAACUGUGCACAUCUUGACGGUACCUAAUCAGAAAGCCACGGCUAACUACGUGCCAGCAGCCGCGGUAAUACGUAGGUGGGCAAGCGUAUCCCGGAUUAUUGGGCGUAAAGCGCGCGUAGGCGGUUUUUUAAGUCUGAUGUGAAAGCCCACGGCUCAACCGUGGAGGGUCAUUGGAAACUGGAAAACUUGAGUGCAGAAGAGGAAAGUGGAAUUCCAUGUGUAGCGGUGAAAUGCGCAGAGAUAUGGAGGAACACCAGUGGCGAAGGCGACUUUCUGGUCUGUAACUGACGCUGAUGUGCGAAAGCGUGGGGAUCAAACAGGAUUAGAUACCCUGGUAGUCCACGCCGUAAACGAUGAGUGCUAAGUGUUAGGGGGUUUCCGCCCCUUAGUGCUGCAGCUAACGCAUUAAGCACUCCGCCUGGGGAGUACGACCGCAAGGUUGAAACUCAAAGGAAUUGACGGGGACCCGCACAAGCGGUGGAGCAUGUGGUUUAAUUCGAAGCAACGCGAAGAACCUUACCAAAUCUUGACAUCCUUUGACAACUCUAGAGAUAGAGCUUUCCCCUUCGGGGGACAAAGUGACAGGUGGUGCAUGGUUGUCGUCAGCUCGUGUCGUGAGAUGUUGGGUUAAGUCCCGCAACGAGCGCAACCCUUAAGCUUAGUUGCCAUCAUUAAGUUGGGCACUCUAAGUUGACUGCCGGUGACAAACCGGAGGAAGGUGGGGAUGACGUCAAAUCAUCAUGCCCCUUAUGAUUUGGGCUACACACGUGCUACAAUGGACAAUACAAAGGGCAGCGAAACCGCGAGGUCAAGCAAAUCCCAUAAAGUUGUUCUCAGUUCGGAUUGUAGUCUGCAACUCGACUACAUGAAGCUGGAAUCGCUAGUAAUCGUAGAUCAGCAUGCUACGGUGAAUACGUUCCCGGGUCU